rnacentral:rRNA from 1 species
GCGUAAAGAGUUCGUAGGCGGUGAUUCAAGUCUAAUGUGAAAUAAUAGGGCUCAACCCUAUUCCCGCAUUAGUAACUGGAUUACUAGAGUAAGGUAGGGGUCAGAAGAAUUCCUGGUGUAGCGGUGAAAUGCGUAGAUAUCAGGAGGAACACCGGUGGCGAAGGCGUCUGACUGGGCCUUUACUGACGCUGAGGGACGAAAGCUAGGGGAGCGAAAGGGAUUAGAUACCCCUGUAGUCCUAGCUGUAAACGAUGGAUACUAGUUGCUGCAGGAAUCGACCCCCGCAGUGACGAAGCUAACGCAUUAAGUAUCCCGCCUGGGAAGUACGUUCGCAAGAAUGAAACUCAAAGGAAUUGACGGGGACCCGCACAAGCGGUGGAACAUGUGGUUCAAUUCGAUGCAACGCGAAGAACCUUACCUGGCCUUGACAUGCCUAGAACCCGGGAGAGAUCUCGGGGUGCCUUCGGGAGCUAGGACACAGGUGCUGCAUGGUUGUCGUCAGCUCGUGUCGUGAGAUGUUGGGUUAAGUCCCGCAACGAGCGCAACCCUUGUUGUCUGUUGCCACCCUAUAGCAAUAUAGGAGCACUCCGACAAGACUGCCCCGGUUAACGGGGAGGAAGGUGGGGACGACGUCAAAUCAUCAUGGCCCUUACGGCCAGGGCUACGCACGUGUUACAAUGGGCGCCACAAUGGGCAGCAACUGGGCAACCAGAAGCGAAUCCCUUAAAAGCGCUCUCAGUUCGGAUCGUAGGCUGCAACUUGCCUACGUGAAGUUGGAAUCGCUAGUAAAUGC